rnacentral:lncRNA from 1 species
GUUACAUGAGUUCUUCCGUAAUGUAUGUAUGUUAUUGUCUUUGUAUACUUAUAUCCAUUCCUUGUUUGCAUUGUAGGAUUGUCUCAGCACCACUAACCUACUGGAUCUUCAAAGGUCAGCGUCUUGCAAAACUUGGGUUCAAAAUAUCACUCCUGUCCCUUCACCUAAACAUGUCAGAGUCAUAUAAUCAAACUUUGCUAUUGGGCAUGAACAAAUGGUAAAGACUCUCCUUUCUGACUGAAAUCUAUGGAAUCAUUCCCAUCACCUUAAUGUAACAUCACCAGUACUGUAUUCUGCUGCUCUGUUCUACAGAUGGCCCUGCAGCCUGCAGUUCCACAGAGACAUUGGUAAGCAUUUCAGAAAGAAGCUUGUGGCCAAUGAAGGGUGGCUCAAGAACUACUCAAUAUUCAUUCAUUCCUGAACAACUUUUUUCAUUCAGAGUUGGGAAUUUGGAGUUUGAGGUUCACACAAAGGUUCCAGCUAAAGGAACAGAAAAUAAAACCAGGACCUGAUUGUUAAAAAAAAAAACAGUUUGUGUAAUCAAAUGAUGUUGGCUUCCAAAGUAAUCCCCUCUGUAAAAUGGGGCAGAGUCUAUUUCCUACAGAAGAAAACAAAAAUGAAUCUAGUAACUAGUGAAAUGCUGAAAGAAUUGCAAACAUAAAUAAUAAAUUGAUCAACAAUUAUUAGAUUGGCAAGAAAUUUUCUGCAAUUCAGAGUGUUUUUUAAAACUUAGACAAAAAUUGUCUGAAUUAUCUGGGUAUAUCCUAAUAAAAAGAGAAGAAAACAGGAUAAAUGUUGAAGAACCACAUUAGGACCUGCUGGUUUUACAAAGCAAUUUCCUUCUCUAGUCUUUGAAGAAUAUGUUAUAAGAAUUAUCUUUGAUUAUUGAAAAGUAUGGUACAUUUCUUGAAAUUAUCCUCAGAGGGAAAUGUGCUAGUAACGAUUCAGAUAAAAAUGAUUCAAAAAAUGAGAAUAAUACAAAAGGUAAGAUUGCUAUAUAAAAAAAGAAAAAUGCGGCCUGUUCUCACUUAGGAAUACAAACACUAUGAUAGCAACCAUUUAAUGUAAAACUACUCCAUGCCAAUCACUUGUUAGCUCAAUGAAUGAUCAUAACAACCCAUAAGUAUGCAUUGUGAUGUCCCUAUGCUAAAAUGACUCUUGUCCACAGCGGCAAAGUAACAGCACUGCUCUAGCAGAACAAAGAUUCUAAAGCAGUUUCCUCUGAUGACAGGAGCCACACUUUUAACUUCUGCUCAUACUGAAAACAACUAUAGUGAAGUCCAGUUCCAUUUGAGCUCACUGAUGUGAGCAUGUUAACUAAAUGCUACAAAUAAAAUAUAGAAAGUUAUUAAAAUAAAUUUAAAAUUUGAUAAUUGUUUAUUUUAGGAAUGUAAAGCAUUUCAACAAAAAUGGUAAUAUUAUUGAAAAAAUAUAUGAAUUUGAUAAAAUCCAGUUCCUACUUUGCUUGCCUUUGUUUUGGGAAUUUAUUUUUUUAAACAGAGACUCUCUGCAGAGUUCAGGCUGCCCUUGAAUUCAAGGUUUAGCCCAGGCUGUCUUCAAACUUAAGGUGAUCUUUCUUUAGCCUCCCAAGUGCUGGGAUAAUGUGCCUGUACAGCCAUGCCCACCUAGUUCCUACUAUUUAUGUAUGCACAGCUAAGUAUAGUGAAUUAUAUAUUUAAUAUGGUAAAAAGCACAUAUUCAAAACACAAAAAACUAAGAAUUGCCUACCUAUUGAAAAAAAAAUUAUUUCCUCAAAAACCUGGAGCAAUCAUUGCAACUUUAGUGUAUCUAAGCAAUUCUUAUAUGAGCAAUAAGGCAUUAAAAUAAGUGAUCAUAAAUACUGGAAAGGAAAAGCCAGAGAAUUUUUUAAAAACUAUUUUUGCAGAGCAGUUUCAAGUCCAAAACAAAACUGAGCCGAAAAUACAGAGAUUUCCCAUAUAGCCAUGCCCCCAUUUCUGUACCACCCUGCCCAGCCACUUAGUAAGAUUGCCCACCAGGGUGGUACAUUGUUAAAAUUGAUGAACGUUCAUUAACACUCCCAAAUCUCUAAUUCAGAGAUUUGAAUAGGAUCUAUUUAGG